rnacentral:lncRNA from 1 species
UCUAUUUAUAUCACGAUUAUACGAUCAAUACACACGAACCAUGUACAAAAACAAAACACGUAUGUGUGUAAAUUGUACGAUAAGUGGAAUGUUCUGAAAUGUAUGUAUUUUUUUGUUUUAUUGCUUGCUUUAUUUAUAAUUUAUAAAAUAGACAAUACUAAACAAUCGUUUUAUUUUUUUUUUUAUUAUCUUUCGUCGUUAUUCGUUAUUCAUAUAACUACAAUAAUAUAUAUAGUAAAUUGAUUGCUGGACAUAUACUUUUUUGGAUAAAAUGUUUAAAUAAUUUUCAAAUGACCAGUUAUGUUAUGUACACAGGUAGAGUCAUGUAAUUCAACAACUACACACUGAAGUAUAAAUUCAAAUGCAUUGAUCGUCCAAAAAAGGGGGUGGAACCCCCAGGAUCCGCCCCUGGACCUUUGUUUCACAUUAUGUUCAAUCUAAUUGAAUUUAUUUUAAUUAGAUUGACAUUAUGUUCGUACGAGGCUUGACAUCUCUUUAUUUAUAGAAAUAAUGUUUCUUCAUAAACAUUAUAUACAGAGACAUAGUAUUAUUUAUAACCUUGAUAAUAUUUUAGAUUAAGUAUAGAUUUGAUCAACGGGGUGUUUUAAUCUGCCACCAAAGUUGUGAUUACAACAAGGAGGUCUUUAAUCUGCCACCCAAGUUCUGAUUACAACAAGGAGGCUUUAAUCUGCCACCAAGUUCUGAUUACAACAAGGAGGUCUUUAAUCUGCCACUCAAGUUCCAUUACAACAGGAGUCUUCAAUCUUCCUCCAAGUUCUGAUUACAACAAGAAGUCUUAAUCUGUCCCAGGAUUGUACAACAAGGAGGUCUAUAUCUGACCUUAAUUCUGAUUACAUCAAGGAGAUCUUAUCUGCCACUUAAGUUCUGAUUACAACAAGGAGGUCUUUAAUCUGCCACCAAAGUUCUGAAUACAACUAGGAUUGUUUUUAAUCUGCUCCCAAGUUCUGAUUACAACUAGGAGGUCUUUAAUCUGCCCCCAAGUUCUGAUUACAGCGAGGAGUGUUUUUAAUCUGCCACCCAAGUUCUGAUUACAACAAGGAGGUCUUUAAUCUACAACCAAGUUCUGAUUAUAACUAGGAGGUCUUUAAUCUGCUCCCAAGUUCUGAUUUCAACUAGGAUUCAGUGAUAUUGUUGCCUAAAUUACUGGAGAAAGGCCUUUCCCUGGGAAGAGUCCAAUUUGAAUAAAAAGCUUAAAAUUAUUCAAAGAAACUUUUUCCCGACAGGCAGUCACAGAUAAUUGUGCGUAUACAACUGAAAAACACCCAUUUAAACAUUUUUCAUCUAAAAUGACUAUAAGUGCAGAUGUAGGGUCUAUUUAUUAUCAUCACUAAAUGAGGGGUCUAUUUCAUUGAGGGUUUUCCUCUUGAAGGGGUGGCAAUCGAAAUCCAGCCAAAUUCAUGUAAUAAUAAUUUCCCAAUUUGAUAAAAAUGACGCAUAUUUCCAAUAAAAAAGGGUAGAGGUGUUUUGAAAAGCCAACAAUGUCACUGACAAAGUACUAAUUACAGAUCUGUUGUCGGAUUGAUAUUUCAUCAAACAGUCGGUAAUUCAUUAGGUACUUCUGGUGUAAUGGUCUCCAUCAUAUGACAGUUCUUGUCCGUUCGUUUUUGAUGUGUUUUGUUAUUUGAUUUUGCCAUGUUAUCAUGGUUAUUAUGGACUUUUCGAAUUGAUUUUCCUCAAGUUCAUUAUUUUUGUGAUUUUACUUUUUGUUUACACAGUCGGUAAUCCAUUAGGUGUUUCUGGUGUAAUGGUCUUCAUGAGUUGUUUACAUAGUCGUAUGAAGCAGAAUUUUUACUCAAUCUUCUAAAAAAAAAAGUUUAAAAAGUUCCUUCUCAAGAUCUCUUAUUAUAUAUUUAGAUAUAUUGUUGGUGUCCUGUUGUUCAAUAGUAUUCAUUUACAAGUGUGGGUGCAUCUCAUAUUUUCCGGUGAAUCUGGGUGCAUCUUAUAUAUCAUGUAUAUCCCAGUGAAACUGAAAUUAAGGAUACUGCCAAAUAACAGGUCUGCCUUCUAUCUUUAAAAAUCUUUUUCGAAAUUAACACAGACGGAUGACUUUCUAAAUGAAAACAGCGUUUUAUAAGUUUGGUGAGUCCGAAGCACUUUUAUCAACUUACUGAUUUAUCUUCACCAAGCUGAAAAUAUUGAAAGCUGAGGAUAUUUUAAACACUUGAGGAGUUAUAUAUGUCAAAAGGACGGACAAAAUCUUCUAACUAACGAUCAAUGAAACCGGGAAGUUGGAUGCUAGCUUUUUAUUAGUUUUCUUUAUAGUAUUCGUCCACUAUAAAACUUUAUUUUUCUAACACAAAAGCUAUUCAUAGGAAGAGAGAAGAACUAAAAUCGACACUAUCUACAAGUGGUAUGGUAAUCCUCACGAUUCGAUGUGUAUGUUUUUCAGAUCGCGAUAGCCAUGUUUUCAUUGUUUUAGAUCUUAAGUUACAAGAAUAUUCGUAUAUUCGAAUUUUACCGAUAGUUUACGUAAUAGUUAUCCCAUUCGGACUUGGUGUGUAAUAAUAAUAAUAAUAAUAAUAAUUAAAACCCAAUUCUUCAGAGAACAAUUGAAGGUCUUUCCACCUCGAUAAUAAGAAUGAAAUUUAGAAAACGAUGUUAGAAAAUGUCACUCCUUGUUGAUGUUAUGUGCUAAAUCAAACUGAUAUAUAUAAAAAAUAAGAUUAAUAUGAUUGUGCAGAAGACUUAAUAAUGAACCUGAAAGAUUUUUUAGCAAAGGUCAAAAUCUAGAACGUCAAUUUGUCCUUGGACCUUGACCUCAAUGUUGAGGUCAUAGGUCAGUGAUCUCAAAUCAAAAGACCCCAGGUCAAUCAAUUGUAUGGUUGUGAAGAAAUACUGAUUUCAAAUACAUAAGGGGACAAAACUCCUACAAGGGUUGACCAAAACACUUUUACUCAAAUGGGUUGAAGUUGCGCCUUAUUGUAAACAAUUUUUUGGAAAACACAUCACAUCAUUGUUUGUUACAGUUUCUUUUGAAUAUAGAUUACAAGCAACAUUCUAAAUUUAGAAUAUGACCUUGACCGUCAACCUUCAACCUUGACUUCAAUUUCAAGGUUAUAUGUCCGCGAACUCAAAUCGAAAGACCCGAGGUCAAUCACAAUCAUACAAUUGUUAAUCUCACAAAAGGCCUUCACACAUUUAAAUGAAUAAUUCAUAUAACUAUUAAUGCAUAUAGAACAAUAUUCAAUAGAUAUAUACCCUUACAGAACUGAAAUGUUUGGCAGCGAUCUGCUGCAACUUGCUGCAGGUCUGCUGCACAAAAUUGCUUGCAGGAACCUUGAUAAUGUUUGCAAUUGUUCGCAGCUAGCUGAAACUCCUGCAAACAUUGCAGCUUUUUGCUGCAAGCUUGCGGCAAGUUUGCAGAAACAAAAAUGUUUGCAGUUAGAAGUGCAGGAAAAACGAGAUAUAAUGGGAUGUUCGCAGCUAGAUUGCAGGAUCUAUUGACCAUGUUAUAGUGGGUUGUAGAACAUUGCAAGAAACUAAUUAACACGAACUGAGCAUGACCUUAUUGGUACUUCCUGGAAGAUAGAUUGAAAUUUGAAAAUGGUUGGUUGAUGUUUGUGUCAUGAUAUAUAUUAGUGUUCAGGGAGGCAUUAUAGUUUGAGCAAUAACAGAUUGUUUUAAAAGACAUUGGUUGUAUAGUACAGUUUCAUCGGAAGUAGACAAUUAACUUAUGGAAUUUCAUUCCCCUCCACAGGUAUACCUGCAUAGGGUUUAAAAUACAUUUUAAAAUAUGUAACCUGCAAUAUCUUCCUCGUAUGCUACAGAUAUAUGCUUACAAAUAUAUGUAAGUCUAGCUGAAAUUGUGUGAAUUUUAGUUUACUAUUAGCUGUAAAUAAAUAUAAUUACUAUACAUGCGCAAAGGAAAAUUCAAACUAAUCUGUUUAAACUUUAGAUUCAUGCAUGUAAUUCAUUUUGAGAAUGUACUUGGAAUUCAUGUUAACUUAUUAACAUUUAAAAAGGUGAUAAACUUAUGCUAUUGAUAAUUUUUCGAAUUGAUAAAGUAAUUGAAUUUUUUAUUGAAUGGAUGGAUGUAACAUAACCUUUAAGAAUUUGCUGUGUAAUCUAGAUAAAAUGAUUGUGUACACAACAUUUGACAUGGUUAAUUGUUUAACAGAUUGGAUGUGUGAAUAACAUGUUUGCAGCAGGUUCUGCAGCAAACACGCAGGGGAAAGAUUAAUUUGCAUAAAUAUGUUUGCACAGGUAUGCGGAACACUCCAUUUGCUAUAAAUGGUUUGCUAGCAGCGUUGCCAGCAAACAGGCGAGCGAGAGAAAGAAUUUAAUUUGCAUAAAAUAUGUUGCAGCAGGUCUGCAGAAAACACUUCAUGCAUUAUAAUGAUUGCAAGCAGGUCUGAGGCAAACACUCAUUUGCACUGGUAAAUUGUUUGCUCAGCAGACCUGCAGCGUAUUUGCAGAACACUGUUUUUCGCUGCAUCGCAAGUUCGCAAGCCAGACGUGCAGCAAAUGUUGCAGGGGACUGAUUUUUUCAGUAAGGAUAUGUACACAAUUACAAAUAUAUAUACACAAGCAUGAAAACAGACUGUAGAACUAGCAUGGCGAGAAUGUCCUAAAAAAAACUUUGUCUACUCAUGAUAAGUGUCGGUCAAAGAUCACCCCAAUGGCCGGAGGCACACCAAGUCCGAAUUGGAUAACUAUUUUACAUCCCAGCUGUUUUAGAUUAGACGAAAACCCAUUUACAAUUCAUAAAAUCUAGUUUAGAACGCCACACAACCAUUAUAAAAUACUUUAUAUAUUACUUUAUGACCCCCGAACACGAUGAGUAGAAUGUAAACGAUGUCACUCGCCCCACCGGCCAUCGGACCCCCACACUAAGUCGCAAUUUAGAGCUACCAUAUGAUUUUUAUGGAGGGGGGGGGUGGGGGGGGGGGGCGUAGGAUGAAAAGUUGUCCUGUAUUUUUUAUUAAGCUGUAAUCUCGUCCUUUGCCUUUUAAUAUUCACUCUGUAGGUCCGACUCCUUUUUUUUUUAGUUAUAUCCUGACUUUUUUUUACCUAAAUUGUAGUCCUACUUUUUUUUGGGCAAUUUUUAUCCGGCUUUUCGUUACUCAAAACUUCCUGUACCUGCCUAUUUUUUCAAUUUUCCGAGCCCCCCCCCAUAAAAUCAACAUGGAACUCACCUUAUACCUAAAUCGCCCACUCUCUGUUUACCGACUCGCUCCACUUUGAAAGAGGCUAAAAUCAAAUUGAACAAUCAACCUGGCAACUCACUUAUUAACAAAAUGGGUUUUAAAGCCCACUGAAUAAAGGUCUGCCAACUCGCCCCACUUAAAAAAAUAUCUUGCUUCUUUCAAGUAUGUUGAAUUACCGAAAGUUGGUAUACAGUCGUCCUGAUGUAGUGGUAUGUGUCGUGGGUUGAUAUGCUAAAGGUCUUGAGUUCGAAUCCCAGCAUUUACACUGGAUUUAUCUACGCAGAUUUUGAUAGAUAGUCUUUUCCGUAUGAUUAAUUAUAAGUUUUAUAGUGGAUUUGACAUUCCCGCCAAAAUGUUACAUGACAAAGGAAGACAAUAACAAUCAAAACCAAGGAGUCAACAAAGACUCACAAAACCAAAGUACAUUUACAUCAACAUUAUAAAUAAUAUCAAGAACAACACGAACUCCACUAAACCGGGUGUGAAUCAGUGCUCCGGAAAGGGUAAGCAUUCCGUAUACGGCACCCUGUGUUAUUUCUUUGGUCAGCUUCGGUAAUGAUGAAAGGUUUUGACUGAGGAAGUAAUAUCAGAUAUGAUUUCUGACACACUUUUGUCAUAAUGGCCAAUUUACAGCUCAUGAUGGCAUCCUUAAAAUUGGUCGUGUUAGUGAGACCAUUAAUUUGACUUGAUUCAUAGCCCUGUCUAUAGCAACUUGUUGAGAAAGCAGUAUUCCUCGUUCAACAAAUCAACUACGUUGAGCUACUCUAAGAGUAACGUAUCAAUUGAGACACCAUAUACUCCGCUGGGAUGUUGCUACAAAACAAAACACAACAUAGAAAAGCCUGAUUAACACUUACCCCUCUAAAAACUGGGGAUGAUCUCAGCGGAUCUGGAAGGUAAUGCAGAUCCUGUCAUCAUGUGGCACCCGUCGUGUCGAUUAUGUAAGAAUAAACUCAACGCUAAGUUUAAUUCAGUAUGUCAAACUCAGGGAGAAAGGGACGGCGGUGUGGUUACAACAAUUAAAAUAUAUCCGUUGUCAUAUUGGUCAGUUGAUGGGUUUCUCUCGGUUUUAGUUUGUAAACUUUUCAAUGUAUAUUGUAAAAUAAAAUUUUUAAUACAUGUAUGUGGAAACCUUACCGCAAGGUACGGUAAUAUAUCUCCAAUUGGAGAAUUGAAAGUAGAUAUCUACAUGAAAAUUUAUCAAUCAAGCAGUGUACGGACAUUAUUGUUAAACUAUUAAAGGAUGGAAAUUUUAGUUUUAGAUAUCAUCGGAAACGUUAAAAGAUGAUAAAUAAAAUAAGUCGGGUGUAUAUGAUCAGGUAUCAUAGUAUGUUUUCAGUGGGUCACGAUUUUAAAAACAAAAAUUUUUACUCCCCAGAUUAAAACAAUUGUUGAUUUUUAAUUUCUGAUAGCUACUUCAAUUGAAAAGGCCAAACACCAAGAAAAAAUCUUGUUGGUAAAGAAUAAAACCACCUUGAUCGUCUCGCUGUAGUGUGUUCGCUUCCAGUUUAUGAAGUCAGUUGUUGACUACACUGUCGGGUCAAACAAAACAAAAAUAUUCUUAUAGUACUGAUACUGCAAACUUAAAAUCCUAUUUUACUACAUGUUUUUAUAAAUUUUCAGGUCAGAUGUAGUUCAAAUAUUGGUUGUAGGCGAUGGCGGUGUUGGAAAAACCUCACUUCUCAUUACAUAUGCUACCGACUCCUUUCCUCACCAGUAUAUUCCCACUGUAACAGAUUUUGGAUCGAUCAUUAAAACCGUAGAAGGACAUAAUAUUAACCUAACAUUAAUGGACACAGGCGGCGGUG